UACGGGGAAUCAGGGUUCGAUUCCGGAGAGGGAGCCUGAGAAAUAGCUACCACAUCCAAGGAAGGCAGCAGGCGCGCAAAUUACCCACUCCCGAAACGGGGAGGUAGUGACGAUAAAUAACGAUGCGGGACUCAAUCGAGGCCCCGUAAUUGGAAUGAGUACACUUUAAAUCCUUUAACGAGGAUCAAUUGGAGGGCAAGCCUGGUGCCAGCAGCCGCGGUAAUUCCAGCUCCAAUAGCGUAUAUUAAAGUUGUUGCAGUUAAAAAGCUCGUAGUUGGAUCUCAGGAUUUGGAUGGAUGGUUCGCUUUCGGGCGCUACUAUCUGUCUGACCUACUCUAGUCGUGGAUGCCUUGGGUGCUCUUAAUUGAGUGCUUUUGGUGCCCGACGCAAUUACUUUGAAAAAAUUAGAGUGCUCAAAGCAGGCGUAUUGCCUGAAUAGUGUUGCAUGGAAUAAUGAAAUAGGAGUUUACUUCUAUUUUGUUGGUUUUCGGAGGUGAACUAAUGAUUAACAGGGACAGACGGGGGCAUUUGUAUGGAGGGGUUAGAGGUGAAAUUCUUGGAUCCUCUCCAGACAAACUACUGCGAAAGCAUUUGCCAGGAAUGUUUUCACUAAUCAAGAACGAAAGUCAGAGGUUCGAAGACGAUCAGAUACCGUCCUAGUUCUGACCAUAAAUGAUGCCAUCUAACAAUCCACGAAGUUUGCUUGUACGAACUCGAGGGCGGUCCCCGGGAAACCAAAGAUUUUGGGUUCCGGGGGAAGUAUGGUUGCAAAGCUGAAACUUAAAGGAAUUGACGGAAGGGCACCACCAGGAGUGGAGCCUGCGGCUUAAUUUGACCCAACACGGGAAACCUCACCCGGCCCGGACACUUUUAGGAUUGACAGAUUGAAGGCUCUUUCUUGAUCAAGUGGUUGGUGGUGCAUGGCCGUUCUUAGUUGGUGGAGCGAUUUGUCUGGUUAAUUCCGAUAACGAACGAGACUCUACUCUGCUAAAUAGAACGUUGAUAUAUAAAAGUCAGUGCUGACUUCUUAGAGAGACUAACGGCGUUUAGCCGUGUGAGAAAGAGCAAUAACAGGUCUGUGAUGCCCUUAGAUGUCCGGGGCCGCACGCGCGCUACACUGACUGCAGCAACUAGUAUGCUCCUGGUUUGAAAAAACUGGGUAACCUGGUUGAAUUGCAGGCGUGACAGGGAUCAGAGUUUGCAAUUAUCCUCUGUGAACGAGGAAUUCCCAGUAAGCGCAAGUCAUUAGCUUGUGCUGAUUACGUCCCUGCCCUUUGUACACACCGCCCGUCGCUACUACCGAUUGAAUGGUUUAGUGAGGUCUUCGGAUUGGUGCUGAUGGAGUGGUUCUCUGCUCUGUUAGUGCCGAGAAGAUGAUCAAACUUGAUCAUUUAGAGGAAGUAAAAGUCGUAACAAGGUU
rnacentral:rRNA from 1 species